AUACGGAGGGGGCUAGCGUUGUUCGGAUUUACUGGGCGUAAAGCGCACGUAGGCGGUUUAUCAAGUUAGGCGUGAAAGCCCCGGGCUCAACCCGGGAACUGCGCUUAUUACUGAUAGACUAGAGAGCGGGAGAGGGUAGCGGAAUUCCCAGUGUAGAGGUGAAAUUCGUAGAUAUUGGGAAGAACACCAGUGGCGAAGGCGGCCACCUGGCCCGGUACUGACGCUGAGGUGCGAAAGCGUGGGGAGCAAACAGGAUUAGAUACCCGAGUAGUCC
rnacentral:rRNA from 1 species